UGCCAGCCGCCGCGGUAAUACGGAGGGUGCAAGCGUUGUUCGGAAUUAUUGGGCGUAAAGCGCGUGUAGGCGGUUCGUUAAGUCUGAUGUGAAAGCCCGAGGCUCAACCUCGGAAUAGCGCUUGAUACUGAACUGCUUGAGACCGGAAGAGGGUAGUGGAAUUCCCAGUGUAGAGGUGAAAUUCGUAGAUAUCGGAAGGAACACCAGUGGCGAAGGCGACUUCCUGGGCCAAUACUGACGCUGAGGUGCGAAAGCGUGGGGAGCAAACAGGAUUAGAUA
rnacentral:rRNA from 1 species